rnacentral:rRNA from 1 species
ACGGCUCAGUAACACGUAGCUAAUCUGCCCUUAGGUCAGGGAUAACCUCUGGGAAACUGAGGAUAAAACCUGAUAAAGGUGCAUCUCUGGAAUAAAUGCACCUAUAAAUUUGUGCCUAAGGAUGAGGCUGCGGCGGAUUAGGUUGUUGGCGGGGUAAACGCCCACCAAGCCGAUAAUCCGUAAGGGCUCUUAGCGGAGAGGCCCUGAGAGGGAAUCUGAGACACUAUUCCCAGCCCCAUGGGGUGCAGCAGUUAGGAAUCAUCUGCAAUGCGCGCAAGCGUGACAGUUUGAGCCAGAGUGCUUUUCAAUGAAAAGCUUUUGCUGAAUGUAAAAAGUUCGGCGAAUAAGGACUGGGCAAGACUAGUGCCAGCCGCCGCGGUAAUACUAGCGGUCCAAGUCGCAGCCAUAUUUAUUGGGUCUAAAACAUCCGUAGCUUGCCAGAUAAGUUUCCUGUGAAAUCCCGAGUCUUAAACUCGGGGCGUGCGGGAAAUACUGUUUGGCUAGAGACUGGGAGAUGUAGGAAGUACGUUCAAAGUAACGGUAAAAUGUUUUGAUCUUGAACGGACUCACAAUAGCGAAGGCAUCCUACAAGAACAGUUCUGACAGUAAGGGAUGAAGGCUAGGGGCGCAAAACGGAUUAGAUACCCGUGUAGUCCUAGCAGUAAACACUGCACACUAAACAUCAGUAUCUCCUCGAGAGGCAUUGGUGCUGUAGCGAAGGCGAAGAGUGUGCUACCUGGGAAGUAUAGCCGCAAGGCCGAAACUUAAAGGAAUUGGCGGGGGAGCACA